AUAACUCCUCAUACCGUCAACUCUCAUUAUUUCUUAAUUAACAUUUUUUAUAUUUUUUGAUACUUUAGAAUUUUUAAGGAAUUCAUCGAUGUCAGCAGAUCUCAUUUUUCAAUGAAAGUUUUAAUAUUAGAGUGAUUACUAUUAUUUAGAAUCAACGAAGAUGAAUGAUAACUGCUUAAAUAAAAUUUGAUAUGUUUCAUACUUGUAAGACUCAUUUUAACUUAUUGGAGACCACGCAUUCAGGAAGAUGUCUAGAUUUGAAGCAACUGAAUAAGAAUUGAAAUAAUUUUAUUUUGAAAUUCUUUGAGCGUUAUCUAUCUGGAUGAUAAACUUUCUCCCCGUCAACUGCCAUAACCGACUAAAAUAAUCGGGUCACGGUUGUGUUUGAGUAACAAGUGCAUAUGUGGAGCUAGGAUUCGUCGCUAAACACCCAGAUGGUUACCCAUCCGGAUACUAGCUACG